UACGUAGGUGGCAAGCGUUGUCCGGAAUUAUUGGGCGUAAAGCGCGCGCAGGCGGUCCUUUAAGUCUGAUGUGAAAGCCCACGGCUCAACCGUGGAGGGUCAUUGGAAACUGGGGGACUUGAGUGCAGAAGAGGAAAGCGGAAUUCCACGUGUAGCGGUGAAAUGCGUAGAGAUGUGGAGGAACACCAGUGGCGAAGGCGGCUUUCUGGUCUGUAACUGACGCUGAGGCGCGAAAGCGUGGGGAGCAACAGG
rnacentral:rRNA from 1 species